rnacentral:rRNA from 1 species
GACGAACGCUGGCGGCGUGCUUAACACAUGCAAGUCGAACGGAAAGGCCCUGCUUUUGUGGGGUGCUCGAGUGGCGAACGGGUGAGUAACACGUGAGUAACCUGCCCUUGACUUUGGGAUAACUUCAGGAAACUGGGGCUAAUACCGGAUAGGAGCUCCUGCUGCAUGGUGGGGGUUGGAAAGUUUCGGCGGUUGGGGAUGGACUCGCGGCUUAUCAGCUUGUUGGUGGGGUAGUGGCUUACCAAGGCUUUGACGGGUAGCCGGCCUGAGAGGGUGACCGGCCACAUUGGGACGGAGAUACGGCCCAGACUCCUACGGGAGGCAGCAGGGGGGAAUAUUGCACAAUGGGGGGAAGCCUGAUGCAGCAACGCCGCGUGCGGGAUGACGGCCUUCGGGUUGUAAACCGCUUUCGCCGGGGACGAAGCGUGAGUGACGGUAAUGGGUAAAGAAGCACCGGCUAACUACGUG